AUCUGAAAACACUUUCUUUUUUCUUCCUUGCACCUGCACCAAGAUGCUAUUUUCAGCAACCACAAAAGGCUUCUCAGGAAAAUGUCGAAAAUGUAAUUGUAGUUCAGGAAGGCAAAGGCUAAUGGGUGUUUUAAUAACGCCGAUAAUCAGCUUUUCACCGAUGUAACAAGUAUCCAUCAAGGUAGCAUCAAUUUAAAUCUUAAUGCCUUUAGUUUG
rnacentral:misc_RNA from 1 species